rnacentral:rRNA from 1 species
UGGGGAAUAUUGGACAAUGGGGGGAACCCUGAUCCAGCCAUGCCGCGUGUGUGAAGAAGGCCUUUUGGUUGUAAAGCACUUUAAGCGAGGAGGAGGCUCCCAGUAUUAAUACUACUGGAGAGUGGACGUUACUCGCAGAAUAAGCACCGGCUAACUCUGUGCCAGCAGCCGCGGUAAUACAGAGGGUGCAAGCGUUAAUCGGAUUUACUGGGCGUAAAGCGUGCGUAGGUGGCCAAUUAAGUCAAAUGUGAAAUCCCCGAGCUUAACUUGGGAAUUGCAUUCGAUACUGGUUGGCUAGAGUAUGGGAGAGGAUGGUAGAAUUCCAGGUGUAGCGGUGAAAUGCGUAGAGAUCUGGAGGAAUACCGAUGGCGAAGGCAGCCAUCUGGCCUAAUACUGACACUGAGGUACGAAAGCAUGGGGAGCAAACA